GGUAUGGGAUGAGCUUGCGUCCGAUUAGCUAGUUGGCGGGGCAACGGCCCACCAAGGCGACGAUCGGUAGCCGGCCUGAGAGGGUGAUCGGCCACAUUGGGACUGAGAUACGGCCCAGACUCCUACGGGAGGCAGCAGUAGGGAAUAUUGCACAAUGGGGGGAACCCUGAUGUAGCAACGCCACGUGUGGGAAGAAGCAUUUCGGUGUGUAAACCACUGUCGUGAGGGAAUAAGGCCUGUUCUAGGACAGGAUUGAAUGUACCUCGAAAGGAAGCGCCGGCAAACUUCGCGCCAGCAGCCGCGGUAAUACGAGGGGUGCAAGCGUUGUUCGGAAUCACUGGGCGUAAAGGGAGCGUAGGCGGAGAUUCAAGCGGAUUGUACAAUCCCGGGGCCCAACCCCGGACCUGCAGUCCGAACUGGAUCUCUUGGAUAGUUCAGGGGCAGGC
rnacentral:rRNA from 1 species